rnacentral:rRNA from 1 species
GAUGAACGCUGGCGGCGUGCCUAAUACAUGCAAGUCGAGCGAAUGGAUUAAGAGCUUGCUCUUAUGAAGUUAGCGGCGGACGGGUGAGUAACACGUGGGUAACCUGCCCAUAAGACUGGGAUAACUCCGGGAAACCGGGGCUAAUACCGGAUAACAUUUUGAACCGCAUGGUUCGAAAUUGAAAGGCGGCUUCGGCUGUCACUUAUGGAUGGACCCGCGUCGCAUUAGCUAGUUGGUGAGGUAACGGCUCACCAAGGCAACGAUGCGUAGCCGACCUGAGAGGUUGAUCGGCCACACUGGGACUGAGACACGGCCCAGACUCCAACGGGAGGCAGCAGUAGGGAAUCUUCCGCAAUGGACGAAAGUCUGACGGAGCAACGCCGCGUGAGUGAUGAAGGCUUUCGGGUCGUAAAACUCUGUUGUUAGGGAAGAACAAGUGCUAGUUGAAUAAGCUGGCACCUUGACGGUACCUAGCCAGAAAGCCACGGCUAACUACGUGCCAGCCGCCGCAGUAA